AACGCGAGCGCUAACUGGCGGAAAUAUUUGAAGAUUUAUUAUGUAAGCCCUUCCGGCACAUUUGUCAGUCUUUUUGUAGAAAGCGUGGCGUGACGUGCAUUUGUGAAUUUUCAUAGGAAAAGAAUUUGCAUUUGGCUGAACUCCUUGGGAGACGAUCAAGCUAAGUCCUGAGUCAGGAAAAAGAGUUAUAUAACUUGGUAGGUUCGAUAAACGAUUGAAAGAAAUUUAAAAUGGCGUCAGGAUAAAAAUUAUUAAUUGAAUUACAGGUUGUAAACUUUCAAAAAGCUUGAGGUUGGUGGAAGCAAACGGAGGCCGUUUGAGAUUAAAGUAAGGAUUGAAUUGUUUGAAUUAAAGAAAUGAAUUGAAGUGUAUAUUUAUUUUAGGGACCACCAACAUUCAUUCAUUCAUUUGUAAUCAGCCAUUUAGUCAUCGCCAAAGUAAUCAAGUCCUUGCAGUCCGCCACGGGGAAAUUGAGUUAAUAAAAAUAAAUACAGUCCACUA